UGCUAUGAGAACAGUCUGGGCAGGUAAAAAUGAUGAUGAAGAAAAACAACCUUCUACCAGUUCUCACCGGAAUUCAAACCCUUCGGUUCCAACGGAGCGCAACUGACGCUGAAGCUCGAAUGUGCGGGUAUCGAACAGGAUUAGAUACCCUGGUAGUCCGCACGGUAAACGAUGGAUGCCCGCUGUUGGUCUGAACAGGUCAGCGGCCAAGCGAAAGCAUUAAGCAUCCCACCUGGGAGUACGCCGGCAACGGUGAAACUCAAAGGAAUUGACGGGGGCCCGCACAAGCGGAGGAACAUGUGGUUUAAUUCGAUGAUACGCGAGGAACCUUACCGGGCUUGAAUUGCAGAGGAAGGAUUUGGAGACAAUGACGCCCUUCGGGGCCUCUGUGAAGGUGCUGCAUGGUUGUCGUCAGCUCGUGCCGUGAGGUGUCGGCUUAAGUGCCAUAACGAGCGCAACCCCUCUCCUUAGUUGCCAUCAGGUGAAGCUGGGCACUCUGGGGACACUGCCACCGUAAGGUGUGAGGAAGGUGGGGAUGACGUCAAAUCAGCACGGCCCUUACGUCCGGGGCUACACACGUGUUACAAUGGCAGGUACAGAGAGACGGUCCCUUGCAAAAUGGAUCAAAUCCUUAAAGCCUGUCUCAGUUCGGACUGGGGUCUGCAACCCGACCCCACGAAGCUGGAUUCGCUAGUAAUCGCGCAUCAGCCAUGGCGCGGUGAAUACGUUCCCGGGCCUUGUACACACCGCCCGUCAAGCCAUGAAAGCCGGGGGCGCCUAAAGUCCGUGACCGUAAGGAGCGGCCUAGGGCGAAACUGGUAAUUGGGGCUAAGUCGUAACAAGGUAGCCGUACCGGAAGGUGCGGCUGGAACACCU
rnacentral:rRNA from 1 species